rnacentral:rRNA from 1 species
AUUGAACGCUGGCGGCAUGCCUUACACAUGCAAGUCGAACGGUAACAGGUUAAGCUUACGCGUGGCGCACGGGCGAGUAAUGUAUCGGAACGUGCCCAGUCGCGUGGGUUAACUGCUCGAAAGAGCAGCUAAUACCGCAUCCGACCUGAGGUUGUAUGCUGGGGAUCGCAAGUCCUUGCUCGAUUGGAGCGGUCGAUAUCCGAUUAGGUAGUUGGUCAGGUAAAGGCUCACCAAGCCGACGAUCUGUAGCUGGUCUGAGAGGUCGAUCAGCCACACUGGAACUGAGACACGGCCCAGACUCCUACGGGAGGCAGCAGUAGGGAAUUUUGGACAAUGGGCGCAAGCCUGAUCCAGCCAUGCCGCGUGAGGGAAGAAGGCCUUCGGGUUGUAAACCGCUUUUGUCAGGGAAGAAAAGGUUCUGGCUAAUACCUGGGACUCAUGACGGUACCUGAAGAAUAAGCAACGGCUAACUACGUG